rnacentral:rRNA from 1 species
CCACUACGCCUGGAACGGUGAGUGGAUCAAAGAUCCGGCGGCAUAGGAUGGGCCUGCGGCGUAUCACCUUGUAGGGGGUGUAACGUACCCUCUAGCCAUCCACGCGUACGGGUGUUGGGAGACAUUGCCCGGAGAUGGAUUCUGAGACACGAAUCCUGACCCUACGGGGUGCAGCAGGCGCGAAAACUUGUCAAUGCGAGAAAUCGUGACCAGGGAACUCCAAGUGGCAGGGGUAAGACCCUGUCUUUUUCCGACUCUAAAUAGGUCGGCGAAUAAGGGGUGGGUAAGGACGGUGCCAGCCGCCGCGGUAAUACCGGCGCCUCUAGUGGUAGUCUCUUUUAUUGGGCCUAAAACGUCCGUAGACGGUCUGGUACAUUCGUGGGUAAAUCAACUCGCUUAAC